UAGGGAAUCUUCCGCAAUGGGCGAAAGCCUGACGGAGCAACGCCGCGUGAGUGAUGAAGGUCUUCGGAUCGUAAAACUCUGUUAUUAGGGAAGAACAAAUGUGUAAGUAACUAUGCACGUCUUGACGGUACCUAAUCAGAAAGCCACGGCUAACUACGUGCCAGCAGCCGCGGUAAUAUGUAGGUGGCAAGCGUUAUCCGGAAUUAUUGGGCGUAAAGCGCGCGUAGGCGGUUUUUUAAGUCUGAUGUGAAAGCCCACGGCUCAACCGUGGAGGGUCAUUGGAAACUGGAAAACUUGAGUGCAGAAGAGGAAAGUGGAAUUCCAUGUGUAGCGGUGAAAUGCGCAGAGAUAUGGAGGAACACCAGUGGCGAAGGCGACUUUCUGGUCUGGAACUGACGCUGAUGUGCGAAAGCGUGGGGAUCAAACAGG
rnacentral:rRNA from 1 species